rnacentral:rRNA from 1 species
AGAGUUUGAUCCUGGCUCAGGACGAACGCUGGCAGCGUGCCUAACACAUGCAAGUAGAGCGGAGACAGUGAGUAGCUUGCUAUGAGCUGUUUUAGCGGCGGACGGGUGAGUAACGCGUGAGCAACCUUUCCCAGACAGGGGAAUAACACACCGAAAGGUGUACUAAUACCGCAUAAGACCACGGGAUCACAUGGUUCUGGGGUAAAAGAUUUAUCGGUUUGGGGUGGGCUCGCGUCCGAUUAGGUAGUUGGUGAGGUAACCGG